UGAAGCUUUAAGGUAAAUAGACAGAUUAAGCAGUGACCUAGUUUGACCUCACAAGCAGAUGGAAGACUCUUAAGAAAUUGUGUUAUGAAGAAAAACUGGGAAGAAAAAGGGAAUUGGUACCGACUGAGGGCAGAAUAGCACAUUGGCUUGGUUCCGGAUCUGGACUGGACCAGGACCAGGAUACCUGCCUGAACCUGCACAGAAUGCUGCUUUGCCUGUUUUUGUUGUGACUCCAUCAGAAAGGUUUCAGCCAAGUAGCCUCUUUCCAGCUUCCAAUGCCACAUAUUUGCAGAAUGAAGAAAACUCAACUGGAGAAGAAAUGGAAUGUAUGUGGCCGACUGGAACAGUGCUUUACUACAGCAUCACCAUAAUAUUGCACAUCAGUAGAAAACCACAUCCAGCAUAAACUUCAGAGAAGGCAAAUGUGUCAUGGUGGAGACACAGGCUGUGGAGCCAAGUAGGGGUGGGUUUACAUCCCUAUUUGUCAGUGGAGCAAACUUGUGCCCAUCUUGAGUUCAAGGCCAUACAUUUUAAUAAAAUAUUUUUGUCUGAGUAGAUGUAGAAAUAUUAUAUUGGUCAACAUCUGCACAAUUGGUAUUAAUUAAUUGGUUGAUAACUAAUUAUUCAAAACUCAGUGGCUUAUAACACUAAGCAUGGAUUUUCAUGUUCAUGGAUUUUCAUGUUAAUAAUUUUGGCUGAUCCAGGCAGGACUCAGCUGGGCAUUUCUACUGCAGGGCGCUGAACCUACCUCCAGUGUAUGAACUGUGUUACAUUUGGGCUCAAGCCUGCAGGGCAGUGACAACUCAGUACACAGAAUAACCAUGUUAAGUUAUGGGACUGAGCAAAACCUCAAACCAACAUGUACAGUCAAAUAUUUGAUAAUGACAUUGAUAAAUAAUUAUGCUUUUUAUCCUUUAUAAUUUUUCAAAUGCCUUCAAUUUUAACUUUUCCUUAAUUAGGAAGUAAAGAUAGGUAUAUAUUUUCAUGUGGCUUUAAAUAGAAAUUUCCUUAAAUGGCCUCAUUUGGGGGGAAAAUAUCUGAAGUAAAUAUUCCUUAAAGUAUAGCUUCUUAAGCUUUGCAUGGAUCACUUGUUAGCUUCCUAAAAUGUAGAUUGUCAUUCAGUUCAUCUAAGGUGAUUCCGCAAUGUUGGAUUUCUGACAUGUUCUCAGGGAUGCUGAUGAUGCUUUUGAAUUCCGGACAAAUUUUAAGUAGGAAGGAAAAUAAUGCUACAUCCACUUUUUUAUUAUUUUUGUAGAGAAAGAUUUUGUUUCUCAAAUGAUAGUUAUAUGGUUUAUGUAAUAAAAU
rnacentral:lncRNA from 10 species